rnacentral:tRNA from 1 species
AUCCAAGGAUGGGAAUCGAACCCACAGUGUUCUGCUUACCGUGUAGAUUCCAUGUCCACUAGGCUACCCUGGA